GUGAUGUUGCACGAGCAAAGAUUAAACACUUCUCAUGAAUUCCAAGAAAGUACAGUCAGCACAUCCGUGAGCUGAGUGUCAGACUUGGCAUACACACCCACUGAUACAAACACCCACAUCGAUCACGUUUGCAGGCAGCGCUGCAAACGGAUGGUAAACACAGAGACGUGCCAAACAACAAGCAAAUGCCAAGUUUAAAACACAUGUGCCAAAGGAAACGCUAGAUGCGCAACUGGACCUAUGACACGCCAACAACAUGCUGGUGGAGCGAGCCACACAUCCAAGACAUGGUCAACAUUUAUAUUUCUAAAAAAUAUAAGUUCUAUAUUUGAUUAUUUAUGCACAUGUGACUAUUUUGCUGUAAGAAAAAUAAACAACGUCUGCUCGGUGCCCUUGAGGAUGGUCAGGAAAGUCAGUUUCCACCGUGUUUGAUUGUAUCCCUCAUAACUCCUAACAAAAAGUUCCACCUAUAAGAUUCAGUCAGCAACAAAAUCUGCAGCCUAUUAUAAGUCUCUAAGCACACAGGACAAACUAUACACAGCUUGUGGAAAGCGCCCCCCAGUGGCAAUUCAUGGCAGUGACACUAUCUAUCUAUCUAGGCAAAUGAUGUUCCUUAGAAGUCUCAAUGCAAUAGUGAUCACUAUGGUGGUCACUUUGUCAUAAAAACACGUUUUCAUUCAAAAAAAUAAUUUAUUAAAUGUCUAAGGUCGACAUAAAUUACUCAUUAAUUAGUAAGAUAUUGAGUAAGCAUUUUACUGAUAAAUCAGUUUUUUUAAAUCAGGUUUUAUAGGCUAUAAUAAAAUAAUACACGUAUUUGUUCAAAUAAACCUGAAAUGGUAAUGAUAACGUGUUUUUUUUAGGCCACAAAGCUGUGGUAAAAAGAGUGCUUUGCAUUUUUUUAUAAGCCUAUUUGAUACAUUUCCUCUCUUUCAGUCUAUCCAUCUAGUAAUUGCUUUAAUGACUCGUUAAAUCACCAAUGUUCCUUUAAUUCCCUUUCUCAUCCUUACUCCACAAAGACACGUUUGAAUUAAAAGAAAAAGUAGACUAUGCUCAAAUUAGACACGAUCACAGGCAAAGAGAAGCAGACUGAGUAGGCUAUUGUUUUUCUUACAUUCUUAGGCUAUUUGUUUCUUUGUUGUUCUGGAUGUGUGCUGCAAUCCUCCUUGUGGUCACUAGGGGGGGUUACGGCGCCAGAAAUCGUUACGCACGGUAGCUCCCAUCGACGCCCCUGAGCUGCCGCCGGGACACAGUGACGGAUUGGCAACAAACGAAGAAAACUUCGGUGUGCGUGCGCUUGUCAUCCACUAUUUAUGUUUCAAACUUCUGGGGGAAUGUGCUCGCUUGUGAAGCCGAGGCUACUCUAGGCGAAGAAGCUCUGCUCAUCAGACCGCUCCGUCAACUCUGUCCGUCUGCCUCAUCAACACCAGUGCCGAAAAGUGAAUUGGAUGACUCUUCUAAAGUGCUCGCUCAGUGAACCAGAGGCCUGGUCGUCGGUCAUCCAUUCCCCACAACCUGAGACUCUUCGAAAGGACACGGAUUUCAACUUUUCCGGGGAUUUCCAGGUGUUGUAAGAGCCGUUGCCAUCACCCGGCGGCCUGCUGCGGA